AACGAACGCUGGCGGCAGGCUUAACACAUGCAAGUCGAACGCUCGUAGCAAUACGGGAGUGGCAGACGGGUGAGUAACACGUGGGAACGUCCCCCUCGGUUCGGAAUAACUCAGGGAAACUUGAGCUAAUACCGGAUACGUCCGAGAGGAGAAAGAUUUAUCGCCGAGGGAUCGGCCCGCGUCUGAUUAGCUAGUUGGUGAGGUAACGGCCCACCAAGGCGACGAUCAGUAGCUGGUCUGAGAGGAUGACCAGCCACACUGGGACUGAGACACGGCC
rnacentral:rRNA from 1 species